GUUCAUGCGGGAGAUGGCAGGGGCUGGCACAUGACAGUGGAGCAGAAAUUUGGCCUGUUUUCUGCUGAGAUAAAGGAAGCAGACCCCCUGGCUGCCUCGGAAGCAAGUCAACCCAAACCCUGUCCCCCCGAAGUGACCCCCCACUACAUCUGGAUCGACUUCCUGGUGCAGCGGUUUGAGAUCGCCAAGUACUGCAGCUCUGACCAAGUGGAGAUCUUCUCCAGCCUGCUGCAGCGCUCCAUGUCCCUGAACAUCGGUGGGGCCAAGGGGAGCAUGAACCGGCAUGUGGCGGCCAUCGGGCCCCGCUUCAAGCUGCUGACCCUGGGGCUGUCCCUCCUGCAUGCCGAUGUGGUUCCAAAUGCAACCAUCCGCAAUGUGCUUCGCGAGAAGAUCUACUCCACUGCCUUUGACUACUUCAGCUGUCCCCCAAAGUUUCCUACUCAAGGAGAGAAGCGGCUGCGUGAAGACAUAAGCAUCAUGAUUAAAUUUUGGACCGCCAUGUUCUCAGAUAAGAAGUACCUGACCGCCAGCCAGCUUGUUCCCCCAGCUGACAUCGGCGACCUCCGGGAGCAGUUAGUAGAGGAGAACACAGGCUCCUUGUCGGGCCCAGCGAAGGACUUUUACCAGCGGGAGUUUGAUUUCUUUAACAAGAUCACCAACGUGUCGGCUGUCAUCAAGCCCUACCCUAAAGGCGACCAGAGAAAGAAGGCUUGUCUGUCGGCCCUGUCUGAAGUGACGGUGCAGCCAGGCUGCUCCCUGCCCAGCAACCCUGAAGCCAUUGUGCUGGACGUCGACUACAAGUCUGGGACCCCGAUGUAGAGUGCUGCAAAAGCCCCAUAUCUGGCCAAGUUCAAGGUGAAGCGAUGUGGAGUUAGUGAACUUGAAAAAGAAGGUCUGCGGUGCCGCUCAGACUCUGAGGAUGAGUGCAGCACGCAGGAGGCCGACGGCCAGAAGAUCUCCUGGCAGGCAGCCAUCUUCAAACUGGGAGACGACUGCCGGCAGGACAUGCUGGCCCUGCAGAUCAUCGACCUCUUCAAGAACAUCUUCCAGCUGGUCGGCCUGGACCUCUUUGUUUUUCCCUACCGCGUGGUGGCCACUGCCCCUGGGUGCGGGGUGAUCGAGUGCAUCCCCGACUGCACCUCCCGGGACCAGCUGGGCCGCCAGACAGACUUUGGCAUGUACGACUACUUCACACGCCAGUACGGGGAUGAGUCCACUCUGGCCUUCCAGCAGGCCUGCUACAACUUCAUCCGAAGCAUGGCCGCCUACAGCCUCCUGCUGUUCCUGCUGCAGAUCAAGGACAGACACAACGGCAACAUUAUGCUGGACAAGAAGGGCCAUAUCAUCCACAUCGGUCAGCCAGCCACAGCGCCACCCUCCUCUCCCUUCACCCCGGCACCCAGGGGUGGAUAGGGAUCCCCACCCCACAGAGAGGAGAAUGCCCAGGACCACCCUGCCAGGAGUGUCAGGGUCCAGCUCUGAGGUCCGAACUGUCGGCCACCAAGCUGUUCUGCUGUAGAGGGUGCCUGGCCCCGGCCCCAGGGAGCUGGGGCGAGAGCCGCCAUUGCUCUGAGUCAGAAGCUGGAGCUGGGCGGAGUGGGGCUCGUCCAGGUUCAGUGCCCCAGCUUGGCUCCUUCCUCCACUUCCUCCCUUCUCUUUCUCUGCCUGCUGCCCCACCACCCACCCCAUCACUGUCUCCAAGAAAACACAACCUGCCUUUUGGGGGUGGAGGGGGUGCUCCUGUUGCAGAGUCCUUUUCCACUCCUCAAAACAGACCACUCGUCCUUGCCCGCCCUGGCUCCUACCCAGUCACAGGCAGCUCUUUGGGGUUUUGCAGACUUUGGCUUCAUGUUUGAAAGCUCGCCGGGCGGCAAUCUCGGCUGGGAACCCGACAUCAAGCUGACGGAUGAGAUGGUGAUGAUCAUGGGGGGCAAGAUGGAGGCCACACCCUUCAAGUGGUUCAUGGAGAUGUGUGUCCAGGCUACCUGGCUGUGCGGCCCUACAUGGAUGUGGUCGUCUCCCUGGUCACUAUCAUGUUGGACACGGGCCUGCCCUGUUUUCGCGGCCAGACAAUCAAGUUCUUGAAGCACAGGUUUAGCCCCAACAUGACUGAGCGCGAGGCUGCAAAUUUCAUCAUGAAGGUCAUCCAGAGCUGCUUCCUCAGCAACAGGAGCCGGACCUACAACAUGAUCCAGUACUAUCAGAAUGACAUCCCCUACUGAGGAGGGGACCUUCGAGGGCCUCUGCCCCAUGUGCCCUUGAAGCUGCCCCACAAUCAUGGAGCCCUGCGACCUACCCGCCCUGCCGCCACAUGCAGUGGAGGAGAGGCCUGUGGCCCGAAGAGCCUGGUAGCGCCUCCU